rnacentral:rRNA from 2 species
CUGAACCAGCCAAGUAGCGUGAAGGAUGACUGCCCUAUGGGUUGUAAACUUCUUUUAUACGGGAAUAAAGUGAGGCACGUGUGCCUUUUUGUAUGUACCGUAUGAAUAAGGAUCGGCUAACUCCGUGCCAGCAGCCGCGGUAAUACGGAGGAUCCGAGCGUUAUCCGGAUUUAUUGGGUUUAAAGGGAGCGUAGAUGGAUGUUUAAGUCAGUUGUGAAAGUUUGCGG